UUUUUUUUUUUUUUUUUUUUUUUUCCCUAAUGUGCUGUGACAAAGUAUCAUGUCAUUGCUGUGAAGUGUUGCCAGAAGGUCAACAGAGAUUAUCCCUCCUGUCUACUCAGCCCCAGUGAGGGCACACCUGGAUCUUUGGGUUCAGUUUUGAGCUCUCCACUGCAAAAAAGAGAUGGAGCUACUGGAAAGUCCAGCAAAGGCUCAUGAAGAUGAUUAAGGGAUCAGAACAUCAAUUUGUGAGGAGAGGCUGAAAGAGCUGGGACUGUUCAUCUUGGAGAAGAGAAGGUUCAGGGGGAUCUUUUCAAUGUGUAGAAAUACCCGCAGUGAGGGUGCACAAAGGAUGGAGCCAGGUUCAUUCCAGUGGUGCCCAGUAACAGGACCAGAGGCAAAGGGCAUGUGCUGAAACAGGCAGUUUCCUUUGAACAUCCAGAAACACCUUUUCUUCAACUGUGAGGGUGACCAGGCACUGGCCUGUGUUGCCUGGGGAUGUGGCAGAUUCUCCAUCCUUGGAGAUACUCAUAUACUGUCCAGACAUAGACCUGGGCAAUCUGCUGGAGUGAUGAGGUUGGACCAGGUGAACUCCGGAGAUCCCUUUUAACCUCAACCAUGCUGUGGUUCCAUGUUUGUUUCUUUUUUAUGGGCAGAUUGGUUUCACUUUUCACGUCCAUUCCAGGUGACAAUUAUUAAUUAAAUUAAUCAGCUUAGCAGUAAAACUAGCCAAGUUUUAUGUAAAUGCCAUAAUCUUCCUAGUAGCUUAAAUUGCAUGGGGCUGUAGAUGCAUAAAUAUUUCACUGCAUGUAUGUGGCAAAGGCAUUUCUGCAGAGCAGCCAUGAGAUGACAGAGAUUCGAGGGGUUUUGUGUUGGAGGAAGAGCUACAGAAAUCCCAAAAUAAAUUGAAUAGCAGCCAUCACUUGUGUAGCGUGGAACACGCCAGCAAAAAGUGCAUUGAUACUUUACACCACGGCACCACAAGGAUGGAUUUUCUGGCCACAAGGAUGUGUUGUGGUGGCCCACCCUAAGAGCAGCCUGACCAGGAAGGGUCACUGCACUUGAACAAAAGCUUUUCUUUGCUUUCUCUGCUCCCCUGCCAAUCUUCAUCUAAAAUUACUUCUGCCACUUCAGGAGUGAUUCUGGAUUAUCUGAAGUGUACACUGAAAGUAAUCUUUGCUUAGAAAUGCAAUCAGAACAGUAAUCCUUGACUCAUUGGGGUGGCUCAGCUGAGCCCUUAGCAGGGGAGGAAUUUAUCUCCCUCCUUCCUUGUGGGGAACAUGUGGGGAUGUUCCUGUCUCUCUGUCUGUGGCCAUUGCAAUGACCACUCUGCUGCCCUGGGUACAGAGAAACUUGACCUUUCUCUGAUAAACCUUCCUUCUGGGCAUGUGCCACCUGCAGCUGAUUUCCCUGGCUCUGCAUUAGGAGAUCAGAAGAAGCCAUGGGUUCUGGUCACUUCUGAAGGUGGCAUAGUUGCUGUGAUAGUGGCAACCAGCUUUGCUUCACCACUGUUAGUCUCAGACUAGUUCAAGUCUGGCAAGAUCUCUGGAGGUCUCUAGUCCAAGCUUUGCUUACACAUGAUCUUCUCCAGUUAAGUUUUAAAUACUUAGAAAGUCAGAGAGCCCAUGAUCUCUGUUCCAGUGCUUGAUCACCUUUGCUUUUCCUCAUAAUGGAUUUCAUUUGUUCCAUACUUGCCUGGUUGCCUUUUGUCAUAUCCUAAAGGACCUUGGAGAGGAACCUGGGCUCCAUCGCUCUACACCCUUGGGUUAAAGGUUGAUGGCAGUAACAAGAUUUCUUAAGGCUUUUUUUUUACCGCAGCAGUGUGGUCUCUGUCUGAUCCAGAAAUACACUGGAGUUAGGUGAAACACAAAGAAUUGUUUUCCCCUCUCAUUCCUACUCCCAAGUCUGCUUACUCACUAGAAGUAUGUGGAUGUACAUAACUCCCUGAGGAAAGUAAAACUGCCAGAUCAUACAGGCAGAGAGUGAAAUUGGGAGGCAAACUCCAUCCUAUGGUGACCUAUAACACAGCAGAAGUUUUCUUCCUCAGAGGAGCAGUAGUAGCUGGACACAGUUGCCCCUCUUACCCAUCCACACAGGGUUUGCCAGGGAGUCAGUGGAAAAGCAAAGCGAUUCACUGGUGGGAAUCAUUCUGAAUCUUUACUUUUGCCCUGAUCAAUUGCAUAAGUUGGAGACCUUUGCCAUAAGUGGGGCAAAAUGAGGCCACGCACCUGCACCAUCCCUCACCAGAAUGGGAUUAGCCUUGGAGAGCUUGUGCCAACCAUCAAGCAUGGAUUUAUUGUUGCAUUGUUUUCCUUUUAACUUUAUACUUGCCGUAUCAUUUGCUUCAGAAAACUGUGGGCUCCCCCACUGUUUGCAGUUAGUAAUUUCUUCUUCUGAGUGGGAGCAGGACACGGUGGACACCGUUGAUUUGGGCGACUGGCAGGAGGACACUGCUGGCAGGAGGACACUGGGCACUGCAGCCAUUCCCACAGGGCAGGUGCCACUUCUGAGCUGUACUUGGUGCCUUCAAACCUGCAUUUCUGUCUGCCUCAUGAUGGAUCCCACCAUGGACUGAAAGCUGCUGCCUCGGUGACAACGACAGCCUCCAACUUCAUCUCUUCGGCUAUCCUGGGAAAAUUGCUCUUCGGGGAGACGUGGACACCUCUGUGGUGGGUCGGCCUCACCAUGACAGUCUGUGGACUCAUGCUGCUGCACACUGCUGCACCCCAGCUGGUGCAGGUCCCAGCGGAGAAGAAGGAGUGAUAGUUCCUUCCAGAUAGCUGAAGGGGUCACGGUGCCAUGCUUCCCUCUCCAGCCUGUCUCAGGACAGCAUCCCCAGUCCCCACUGGCCUCUGAACACAUCAGCCACCGAACUGCUAACCCCUGCUCACUGCUCAUCUGCUGACUUCCAAAAUCGAGCUGGUCACAUCCUUCCUGGUGGUGGUAUGUGGCAGUGGCAGCUUCGGAGGGAGCUGGUCAACUCUGAGUCAGUAUGGUGAAAAUCAGGGCCAGAGGCUUAUCAGCCACUCCUCCUCUUCACACCCUGUGGCUGUGGAGCUUUCUCAGUUUGGGGAAUGCUGAAAGUAUACAAACUAAACAUAGUGGCUGUGGAAGGAGCUUGUACAUCAAUAUUUUUCCAUGAAAGGACCUAUACCAAAAUAGAAAAGUAAUUAGAGUUAGAUGCUGAAGGUUAUUUCUGCUCUGUUGUUCCUGACUUCCUGUCUCUUGAAAUGGUUCUGUGCCCACUGCUACCUGUAAGGCUGUGAAGACUUUCAUUAAUUCUUUCAGCUUCCUCUAUCAGUCACAUACACCUUUUAACUUGUCAUUUGUAUCUGACAUCUAGAAUUUUCACUUACCCAUUCCUGACAUGUUAGUCACUGUAAGGUUGCGGCGCUUUCCUUUAAACCUUUACCCAGCAGAGUUUUGAUCACCAUUCCUGCGUUGUGUAGGUCAAACUAAUUUUGGGACAGUUCAACAGGCAAUCUGCUUUCACUUGGAGUGUUCAUGUUCAACACGUCUUUCAUCCCCAUUCAAGUUGACAACUGCUUUAAUGUUUGGUAAAAGGGAGUUUCUCAAGACACAUUUUUUCUACACCUCUGGAUGAUGCUUAUUCCCAUUGAUGUGAUGUGGUCAACCAAAUCACUGGUAUCUGCUAAAUUUUGCAUCAGUCAUUACUCUGUGUUCAGGUGUCAAUUUGGUGAAUGUGUCACGAAUCAUCAUUUUUAAGGUAUUGGAUUCAUUCCCCUGCCCACUUCUUUUUUUUCCUCCUUUGAAAUUCUUCGGUUGGAAUCCUAAUUAAGAAAUAUCAUGAUGCCUAUAAAUGUAUGCAUCAUGCUGGUGAUAUCACUUGCUUGCUCUGGGCUUGCCAGGUUGUCUCUGUCAGACAGAAGGUGAGUCGCGGCUGUGGCAUGUGCAGAAAACCUAAGGACACAUUUCUGUGAGCAUCUGUAUCACAACCUGUCAGGUCUGUCAUGACUGGCAGAUCUGUGCUGUGUCAAGUGUAAAAUAGACUUGUGGAUGGAAAUGCCACCAGGGUUGGGUUUGUGCCUUCUUUGAAUCAGAAGAGUUAUUGUCUUUCAGAAGAGGACAAGAGACAUUUGCUCUGUUCCCUGCCAUUCUAGCUCACUACAUCUAGCAGCCAUGUCCCAAGAGGGCUAAAGCCUUCGCCUCUCCCCUCAAUGUGCUCUCAAGUCUUCCUGUAAAAGAGGGGAGCUGCAUAUGUGGGGGAGAGGGCAGAGUGCUCUGAGUGCCUUCCCUCCCUGCCACCAUUAGUUUUGCAGCUAGGGAGCUCUCUGGUGUCAGUCGUGGUAGGAUGGGACACAUCCAGUUGCCUGGAAAACUGGGACCUGACACAAGGACCCAGCAUCUGUCAUAGGUCUGUAGACAUGACAGCCAGGAACCAUGCAUUUCUAAGUACAUCAGGUCUCCUUAGAUCUUCAUAGAUGAUGGAAAAUUAAUGGAGCCUGAUUUAUUUGCCCUGGUUAUUAAUCCUCAGCCAGCUGUAAGCCAUGGCUGCCUUCAUGCAAACACCAGUAGAAGAACCAGGCUUUCUGGUUAAUUUGGCUGUGGUCCCAUUUCCUAACAAACCAUUUGGAAAGCUUUUUAACCUGGACUAUCUCAAAACUGACAUUUCUUUAUUACAGUCAUUGUUGGAGGUCAAGUUUUAGGAGGUGUUUCUUCGGAAGUGGAACGUGUGCAGAAGGUGUGAGCAGCACUUUACUUUUUGGUGCUCACCUUAAGGUGGAUGAAUAUAAACCAGGGCUGUAAAUUCUCUCAUAAAUACUUGAAGGUGGAAAUGGAAGUAAGUUUUUCUCCAAUUCCCGUGGUAAGAUAAGAGUUCAUUUUAUGGCAGAAUCCCACCCCUCUUGUGUACACAAGAGUUUGGCCAUGUCUGCCAGCGGGGCCAGGGCUACAAGAAAAAUUGUAAUCACUGUGUGGCAAAGCAAUGUACUUCUGGUAAACCAUUCAUAUGGGAUCAUCCAAAAUGUGUCUGAAGGUAAUUAAAAAAAAAAAAAAAAAAAAGGAGGGGGAUUUCCAAAAUAAAACUGUG
ensembl:lncRNA